rnacentral:rRNA from 1 species
AACGAACGCUGGCGGCGUGCUUAACACAUGCAAGUCGAACGGGGUACAAGGAGUAGCAAUACGAGAUGUAUCAAGUGGCAGACGGGUGAGUAACACGUAGGUAACCUACCCUCGAGCGGGGGGCAACUCAGGGAAACUUGGGCUAAUACCGCAUAAGACCACGGACUGGGAUGUUUGUGGGAAAAGGAGCAAUUCACUUGGGGAUGGGCCUGCGGCCUAUCAGGUAGUUGGUGGGGUAAAGGCCUACCAAGCCAGAGACGGGUAGCCGGUCUGAGAGGACGAACGGCCACACUGGAACUGAGACACGGUCCAGACUCCUACGGGAGGCAGCAGUGGGGAAUUUUGCACAAUGGGCGAAAGCCUGAUGCAGCGACGCCGCGUGGAGGACGAAGGCCUUCGGGUCGUAAACUCCUUUUGUAGGGGAAAAUWAUGAUGGUACCCUAUGAAUAAGCCMCGGCUAACUCYGUGCCAGCAGCCGCGGUAAUMCAGAGGGGGCGAGCGUUAUUCGGAAWUAUUGGGCGUAAAGGGCGCGUAGGCGGUGUUUUAAGUGGGAUGUGCAWYCCCCGGGCUUAACCUGGGAACUGCAUCCCAGACUGGAACGCUAGAGUGCUKGAGAGGGUGGUAGAAUUCCACGUGUAGCGGUGAAAUGCGUAGAGAUGUGGAGGAAUACCAGUGGCGAAGGCGGCCACCUGGACAGCAACUGACGCUGAGGCGCGAAAGUGUGGGUAGCAAACAGGAUUAGAUACCCUGGUAGUCCACGCUGUAAACGAUGAACACUUGGUGGUGGCCGGGAGUUGACCCCUGCCGUGGCCGUARCUAACGCGCUWAGUGUUUCCGCCUGGGGGAGUACSGUCGCMAGGCUGAAACUCAAARGAAUUGACGGGGGSCCGCACAAGCGGUGGAGCAUGUGGUUUAAUUCGACGCAACGCGAAGAACCUUACCUGGGCUUGAACUGCAGUGGACCGGUGCAGAGAUGUGCCUUUUCGCAAGAACUGCUGCAGAGGUGCUGCAUGGCUGUCGUCAGCUCGUGUCGUGAGAUGUUGGGUUAAGUCCCGCAACGAGCGCAACCCUUACCCUUAGUUGCCAGCGAGUCAAGUCGGGAACUCCAAGGGGACCGCCCGGGUUAACCGGGAGGAGGGUGGGGAUGAUGUCAAGUCCUCAUGGCCCUUAUGUCCAGGGCUACACACGUGCUACAAUGGGUGAUACAAACCGUUGCGAUACCGCGAGGUGGAGCUAAUCGGAGAAAGUCGCCCUCAGUUCGGAUUGCAGUCUGCAACUCGACUGCA